rnacentral:tRNA from 1 species
GGGUUGCUAGCUCAGCUGGUUUAGAGCACUACCUUGACAGGGUAGGGGUCACUGGUUCGACUCCAGUGCAACCCACAA